rnacentral:rRNA from 1 species
GACGAACGCUGGCGGCGUGCUUAACACAUGCAAGUCGAACGGAAAGGCCCUGCUUGCAGGGUGCUCGAGUGGCGAACGGGUGAGUAACACGUGGGUGAUCUGCCCCUUACUUUGGGAUAAGCCUGUUAAACUGGGUCUAAUACUGGAUAGGACCAUGCUUUAGGUGGUGUGGUGGAAAGAUUAGUUUCGGUAAGGGAUGAGCUCGCGGCCUAUCAGCUUGUUGGUGGGGUAAUGGCCUACCAAGGCGUCGACGGGUAGCCGGCCUGAGAGGGUGGACGGCCAGAUUGGGACUGAGAUGCGGGCCAGAAUCCUACGGGAGGCAGCAGUGGGGAAUAUUGCACAAUGGGCGCAAGCCUGAUGCAGCGACGGCGCGUGGGGGAUGACGGCCUUCGGGUUGUAAACACCUUUCAGCCAUGACGAAGCCCUUGUGGUGACGGUAGUGGUAGAAGAAGCACCGGCUAACUACGUG